UUCAGGCAUGUAAUUAGAAAUGCUUGUCUCGCAAAAAGGGCACCCAAUAAGCAAAUAUCACCCAUAAUUUCUUGAGAAAAGUGCAUGGAAUUUGGCAAGUGACUACGAGGAAAAGUUUGUCAAGUUGACGUGUUUCAUGGGAAGUCUCCAACUCCUACAUCACAAGUCAAGGAUAGCAACCAACCUCCAACGAAUCGCCGCAGCAAUAGAGGACUGUUAUCAACUUAAAGAUGUCUUAAUGAUGACCUCAGCUGCUCAGGGAUGGAAAAAGCCGUGGAGCAUAAGUAAAGGAAUGGUCUCCAGGAAGCGAGAGAGGAUGAUAAAAAAAGGGAAGAGCUUUUGUCAGCUUUAUAGAAUAUAAUAUAUUAUCAGAAUAUAUAAGCGGAAGCAGUUGAAAAUGGUACGUACCUUUUUUGUGAUGUCCAAGCUCCACAAUGCGCAUGAGAUACGCUUGGGAGAUUUCGGGAAUGAGAAAUCCUUUAACCGAUUUUUACUAAAGGACAGAGUUUUAGAGGCUUUUUCUAAGGCGCACGAUCAGUGAUCGGAGGACCGUUAUUGUAAUAAAGGGAAAAAAGUCAUUCUGACUUAAACUGAAAGAGACUUUUCAGAAUGAUGCGCGUACGCUAGCUUUUGUGCAGGGUCCGCUGGGUUUCCUUUUCCAAACAGAAGAUUGUUUCUUCGACGGUGCUAUAAACAAGUGUAAAAAAAACUCUAGUGUCAACAGUACUAGCGUCAACCUUAGGAGGACACGUUUAGGCCCAAACCUGACGUAAGCCAGAAUUAUUCUAUGUAAGUUAUAAACUAUCAGAUGGUUUUGAGCGCCAUAUUUCUAAACGCCAGCCACCACUGCCGAUCUAUAUACUGGCUGCUUUGGCCCGUAACUAGCAUGAGGUAGAGCGAGGCUCUAGCCUCGGAAACAAUUGUGAUAAUUUUAUUUCAAAAAUAACAUAGGGCCGUAAUGGAAAGAUAAACAAAUGAUCC